rnacentral:rRNA from 1 species
UACGAAGGGGGCUAGCGUUGCUCGGAAUUACUGGGCGUAAAGCGUGCGCAGGCGGUUUUGUAAGCCAGGGGUGAAAUCCCCGGGCUCAACCUGGGAAUGGCAUUUGGGACUGCAAGGCUGGAGUGCGGCAGAGGAGACUGGAAUUCCUGGUGUAGCAGUGAAAUGCGUAGAUAUCAGGAGGAAUACCGAUGGCGAAGGCAGGUCUCUGGGCUGACACUGACGCUCAUGCACGAAAGCGUGGGGAGCAAACAGG